GCAUAUUGCACCUCGUACAACAGUACGAGGUACACAUUUUUGAGUGCCUAUAU
rnacentral:rRNA from 1 species